CGAUUUACCAAAAAAACAUUGACAUGCAAUGAUUGGUUUGGUAGUGAGAAUCCUCAGAACUUAGCUUGUUUAUUUACCUCAGAACUUGAAGUUCUCUUUCAAGUAACAAACCAUCUCUUUCAAGUUACUCAUGUGCAUAAGUAAGAUUAAAGAACUCCUUUGUUUGGUGAUUAUAAAGAUAGCCUGCAUGCAAGUUCCAAAUAACCAUCAGAAUCAUGGAAAAAACAAUAUGAACCAUAUGCAACAUAUACCAUAUACUCUUCAUAAUAAGUACUUUU